GCAGUAGCCGCGGGAAUACAGAGGGUGCGAGCGUUAAUCGGAUUUACUGGGCGUAAAGCGUGCGUAGGCGGCUAAUUGAGUCGGAUGUGAAAUCCCCGAGCUUAACUUGGGAAUUGCAUUCGAUACUGGUUAGCUAGAGUGUGGGAGAGGAUGGUAGAAUUCCAGGUGUAGCGGUGAAAUGCGUAGAGAUCUGGAGGAAUACCGAUGGCGAAGGCAGCCAUCUGGCCUAACACUGACGCUGAGGUACGAAAGCAUGGGGAGCAAACAGGAUUAGAUACCCGCGUAGUCCCUGUCUCUUAUAC
rnacentral:rRNA from 1 species